CUAGCAUAUCAAUAAGCGGAGGAAAAGAAACCAACAGGGAUUGCCCCAGUAACGGCGAGUGAAGCGGCAACAGCUCAAAUUUGAAAUCUGGCCCCCUCGGGGCCCGAGUUGUAAUUUGCAGAGGGUGCUUUGGCGUCGGCGGCGGUCUAAGUUCCUUGGAACAGGACAUCGCAGAGGGUGAGAAUCCCGUAUGUGGUCGCAUGCCUUCGCCGUGUAAAGCCCCUUCGACGAGUCGAGUUGUUUGGGAAUGCAGCUCUAAAUGGGAGGUAAAUUUCUUCUAAAGCUAAAUACCGGCCAGAGACCGAUAGCGCACAAGUAGAGUGAUCGAAAGAUGAAAAGCACUUUGGAAAGAGAGUCAAACAGCACGUGAAAUUGUUGAAAGGGAAGCGCUUGCAGCCAGACUUGCCUGUAGUUGCUCACCCGGGCUCCUGCCCGGGGCACUCUUCUGCAGGCAGGCCAGCAUCAGUUUGGGCGGUCGGAUAAAGGCCUCUGACACGUACUUCCUCUCGGGGAUGACAUAUAGGGGAGGCGCAAUGCGACCAGCCCGGACUGAGGUCCGCGCAUCUGCUAGGAUGCUGGCGUAAUGGCUGUAAGCGGCCCGUCUUGAAACACGGACCAAGGAGUCUAACAUCUAUGCGAGUGUUUGGGUGUCAAGCCCGGGCGCGCAAUGAAAGUGAACGGAGGUGGGAACCCCUCGGGGCGCACCAUCGACCGAUCCUGAUGUCUUCGGAUGGAUUUGAGUAAGAGCAUAGCUGUUGGGACCCGAAAGAUGGUGAACUAUGCUUGAAUAGGGUGAAGCCAGAGGAAACUCUGGUGGAGGCUCGCAGCGGUUCUGACGUGCAAAUCGAUCGUCAAAUUUGGGCAUAGGGGCGAAAGACUAAUCGAACUAUCUAGUAGCUGGUUCCUGCCGA
rnacentral:rRNA from 1 species